rnacentral:rRNA from 1 species
AAUGAACGUUGGCGGCGUGGAUUAGGCAUGCGAGUCGUGCGAGAAUCGUAGCAAUACGAGGACAGCGGCGAAAGGGAGAGGAACACGUGGAUACAUACCCUCGGGCUCAGGAUAGCCAUGGGAAACUAUGGGUAAUACUGAAUAACAUCUACGGAUCAAAGGUGUGAUUCCGCCCGGGGAGCGGUCCGCGUCCUAUUAGCUAGUUGGUGGGGUAACGGCCUACCAAGGCGAAGAUGGGUACGAGAUGUGAGAGCAUAAUCUCGCUCAUUGGGACUGAGACACUGCCCAGACACCUACGGGUGGCUGCAGUCGAGAAUCUUCGGCAAUGGGGGAAACCCUGACCGAGCGACGCCGCGUGCGAGAUGAAGGCCUUCGGGUUGUAAAUCGCUGUCGUAGGGGAGGAAAUGCUGGUGGGUUCUCCCAUCAGUUUGACCUAUCCUAGGAGGAAGGACGGGCUAAGUUCGUGCCAGCCGCCGCAGUAA